GAAGAAGAAGAAGAAGAAGAAGUGAGGAAAAAAAGAAGUGAACCAUGAGAGUUUGUAUUAUAUUUGUUUGAUAAAAACCAAGAGGAAGUUGGAGGAAUUUCAGGUCUCAAGAAACGGAAAAUAGAGGUUUGAGCUAAUGAUGUUGUCUUGUGCUGUUGAAUGGUAGAAAUGAUGCAUCAAGAACGGGGUUUCCAUUAUGAUGGUAUAAACAA
rnacentral:misc_RNA from 1 species